rnacentral:tRNA from 1 species
AAUGGGUUAGGUUAGGUGACUGUCUGUUUUCAAAACAGAGGGGGACUCUUUAGGUUGCCCGUUG